rnacentral:rRNA from 1 species
AUUGAACGCUGGCGGCAUGCCUUACACAUGCAAGUCGAACGGCAGCACGGGAGCUUGCUCCUGGUGGCGAGUGGCGAACGGGUGAGUAAUACAUCGGAACGUACCCUGAAGUGGGGGAUAACGUAGCGAAAGUUACGCUAAUACCGCAUAUUCUGUGAGCAGGAAAGAGGGGGAUCGCAAGACCUCUUGCUUUAGGAGCGGCCGAUGUCGGAUUAGCUAGUUGGUGAGGUAAAGGCUCACCAAGGCGACGAUCCGUAGCGGGUCUGAGAGGAUGAUCCGCCACACUGGGACUGAGACACGGCCCAGACUCCUACGGAGGCAGCAGUGGGAAUUUUGGACAAUGGCGCAAGCCUGAUCCAGCCAUGCCGCGUGAGUGAAGAAGGCCUC